rnacentral:misc_RNA from 1 species
UCAUACAGCGGCUUCGUAGGCCUUUGCCUGCAUAUCUACCCAUUGUCUUUUAGCGUACCUUAUGUUUCCUCGGGCGGGUCUUGCCUGCCGAUUGGACAAUUCUAAAACCAUUUUGCUAGUUGCAAUCAGCGUCUAGAAAACAAAAUUAAUUAGUUA